rnacentral:rRNA from 1 species
AGAGUUUGAUCCUGGCUCAGGAUGAACGCUAGCUACAGGCCUAACACAUGCAAGUCGAGGGGCAGCAUGGGGUCCGCUUGCGGACCCCGAUGGCGACCGGCGAAUGGGUGAGUCACGCGUGUCCAACCUGCCCCGCGCCCGGGGAUAGCCCUUGGAAAUGAGGAUUAAGACCCGAUAUGCGCACGCCCCGCAUGGCGCGUGCGUGAAUGGAGGCGCGGGAUGGGGACGCGUCGGAUUAGCUUGACGGCGGGGCGACGGCCCACCGUGGCGACGAUCCGCAGGGGUUCUGAGAGGAAGGUUCCCCACACUGGCACUGAGACACGGGCCAGACUCCUACGGGAGGCAGCAGUGAGGAAUAUUGGUCAAUGGCCGAGAGGCUGAACCAGCCAAGUAGCGUGCAGGAUGACGGCCCUACGGGUUGUAAACUGCUUUUGCGGGAGGAUAACCGGCGCCACGUGUGGCGCCCUGCAGGUAUCCCGUGAAUAAGGACCGGCUAAUUCCGUGCCAGCAGCCGCGGUAAUACGGAAGGUCCGGGCGUUAUCCGGAUUUAUUGGGUUUAAAGGGAGCGCAGGCGGAGAGCUAAGCGUGACGUGAAAUGUAGCCGCCCAACGGCUGACGUGCGUCGCGAACUGGUUUUCUUGAGCGGGUACGACGUCGGCGGAACUCGUGGUGUAGCGGUGAAAUGCUUAGAUAUCACGAGGAACCCCGAUUGCGAAGGCAGCCGACGAGUCCCUUACUGACGCUAAAGCUCGAAGGUGCGGGUAUCGAACAGGAUUAGAUACCCUGGUAGUCCGCACGGUAAACGAUGGAUGCCCGCUGUUGGCGACACACUGUCAGCGGCCAAGCGAAAGCGUUAAGCAUCCCACCUGGGGAGUACGCCGGCAACGGUGAAACUCAAAGGAAUUGACGGGGGCCCGCACAAGCGGAGGAACAUGUGGUUUAAUUCGAUGAUACGCGAGGAACCUUACCCGGGCUUGAACUGCCGGCGAACGAUUCAGAGAUGAUGAGGCCCUUCGGGGCGCCGGUGGAGGUGCUGCAUGGUUGUCGUCAGCUCGUGCCGUGAGGUGUCGGCUUAAGUGCCAUAACGAGCGCAACCCCUCUCCGUAGUUGCCAUCGGGUUAAGCCGGGCACUCUGCGGACACUGCCACCGCAAGGUGUGAGGAAGGUGGGGAUGACGUCAAAUCAGCACGGCCCUUACGUCCGGGGCUACACACGUGUUACAAUGGGGAGUACAGAGAGCCGGUCUGCGGCAACGCCGAUCCAAUCCUUAAAGCUCUCCUCAGUUCGGAUCGGAGUCUGCAACUCGACUCCGUGAAGUUGGAUUCGCUAGUAAUCGCGCAUCAGCCAUGGCGCGGUGAAUACGUUCCCGGGCCUUGCACACACCGCCCGUCA